AGAACAACUGAGAGUGGCCUCUCGCGCUUUCCCCCAGUUCUCCCUUAAAAAUACUUGGGGGAAGAAAGUGCUUGACUACUCACAGUCCUGUGAUGACCUGUGGCGGAAGGUAAACCGAAGGUGACUGCGGUUAACGUCCUCGAUGGGAAUGGCCACCUUCAAGAAUUGAAAAAGAAGUUUAAGCACUGUUAUCAAUAUCAUCCAGCGUAACAGCUUUAUUCAACUGGAGCUAUCAGAGUUUCGCUCUUGUUGCCCAGGCUAGAGUGGUGCAAUGGCUCGAUCUUGGCUCACCACAACCUCCGCCUCCUGCGUUCAAGCGAUUCUCCUGCCUCAGC
rnacentral:lncRNA from 10 species